GUUAUAUGGUCAAGUGAAGAAGCGCAUACGGUGGAUGCCUUGGCAGUCAGAGGCGAUGAAAGACGUGGUAGCCUGCGAAAAGCUUCGGGGAGUCGGCAAACAGACUUUGAUCCGGAGAUGUCUGAAUGGGGGAACCCAGCCAUCAUAAGAUGGUUAUCUU
rnacentral:rRNA from 1 species